AGAGAUUCACGGUCCACUUCGGUGGCGCGCACACAGGUGCUGCAUGGCUGUCGUCAGCUCGUGUCGUGAGAUGUUGGGUUAAGUCCCGCAACGAGCGCAACCCACGUCUCAGUUGCCAUCAUUCAGUUGGGCACUCUGGGGAGACUGCCGGUGAUAAGCCGCGAGGAAGGUGUGGAUGACGUCAAGUCCUCAUGGCCCUUACGGGAUGGGCUACACACGUGCUACAAUGGCGGUGACAGUGGGAUGCGAACCCGCGAGGGGGAGCAAAUCUCCAAAAGCCGUCUCAGUUCGGAUUGCACUCUGCAACUCGAGUGCAUGAAGGCGGAAUCGCUAGUAAUCGUGGAUCAGCAUGCCACGGUGAAUACGUUCCCGGGCCUUGUACACACCGCCCGUCACACCAUGGGAGUUGGUCUUACCCGACGGCGCUGCGCCGACCCGCAAGGGGAGCAGGCGACCACGGUAGGGUCAGCGACUGGGGUGAAGUCGUAACAAGGUAGGCGUAGAUGA
rnacentral:rRNA from 1 species